rnacentral:lncRNA from 1 species
AUGACUUCAGCCCCUUUCUUAACUAAUUCUGUCGCUGUAAAAACCUACAGUCAUCCUUCCACACAUGAAAGACAACUAACCUCAGAGGAGAACCUAGAUGCUUUCAGUUUUAACUCUUCACCAAUAGUGGAAAAGGCAGAAUGCCUAAGCUCUGUCUUGGUGGCCAAUAGGAUAGCCGUGUAUCUCUCACAUGACUCGCUGCCCCUGUCUCACAUGGGCUGUAAUUUAGUUCAAUUCAGAACUGCAGAUAGUACAGCUUCCACAGGAGCGAGGAAUGCCUGCACACAAGGGGCUGAGUUCCCAGUGACUUUCCGAAGCACUUUUCCACCUUCCUCCGGCAUGAAAACCGAUUCUGCACCUGCACCGGGGACAGCCUGGCAGAAGCCUCUGCUCUUCCUCCGGGAAAACAAGGAACUAGAGCAAAUGACCAUUUUGAAAUUGGAUCUUGGCAAAAUUGCCAACAGAUCCAUUAAGGCAGUUGGAUCUACAUCUUCGAUGACAGUUCCAUCAAAGUUGGGGAAACAUGUCAUGACUUCAAGGAAGAAUGACGCUUGGUUGGUUAGACCCUAAAAUUAGGACAUGACUAAGGAAGAAACCUGCCUUAAUUGCUAAUGUAUCCUCUGACUUCUGUGUAUGCAUAAAGUAG